UGAGUCUGUAAUAGAGACUCCAUGGAAAAUCCCAAGAAGAACUGGGGUUAAUUUUGUGUGAGCUGGUGUGGCUUCGCCUGGUAUACUCUGUUCUGAUGUAAUUGCAGAUAUAGCCGAGGUGGGAGACACAGAUGUUGAAAAGCAGCAGAACAUUGAUAGUACAGAGACUUUUCCCGAUGCUUUUGAAGUGCAGCACUGGGAGCUGAGAAAGAUAUCAAGUACUAUAAAUCCUGUAGUCAAUGUAUUGUACAUAUCCCCACCUAAAUCUUCAGAUGAAGAUAAUAAAAGCAUAAGGAAGAAGAAGAGGAGGAAGAAGAGGAGAAAGCGCUACUUUUGAAAAACAGUCUUCAAUGUUGCCCCAGUG